AGCUUUGCGCAGUGGCAGCAUCGUAGCCAAUGAGGUUUACCCAAGGCGCGAUUAUGGCUAAUUGAAAACAGAAUUGAGGGUACUGUUAUUUCAGGUCUCAAGCUGUCAGGUCCCAAAGAAACCCUGGACAAGGCUCAUUCCU